GACAAACGCUGGCGGAAUGUAUUAGGCAUGCAAGUCGUACGAACCUUCGGGUUAGUGGCGAACGGGUGAGUAACACGUGGGUAACCUGCCUCGUAGUGGGGAAUAACUCGCCGAAAGGCGAGCUAAUACCGCAUAACACCCCCGGUGAGAAUCCGGGUGGUAAAAGCUCCGGCGCUACGAGAGGGGCCCGCGGCCGAUUAGCUAGUUGGUGGGGUAAUAGCCUACCAAGGCGACGAUCGGUAGCUGGUCUGAGAGGAUGGUCAGCCACACGGGGACUGAGAUACGGCCCCGACUCCUACGGGAGGCAGCAGCUAAGAAUCUUGCGCAAUGGGCGAAAGCCUGACGCAGCAAUUCCGCGUGGGGGACGAAGGCCCUCGGGUCGUAAACCCCUUUUGUGAGGGAAGAAGUUCUGAAACGGUCCUCACGAAUAAGACACGGCUAACUACGUG
rnacentral:rRNA from 1 species